CCUACGGGAGGCAGCAGUGGGGAAUAUUGCACAAUGGGGGAAACCCUGAUGCAGCAACGCCGCGGGAGCGAUGAGGGCCUGCGGGUCGUAAAGCUGUGUCCGAAGGGAAGAAUACUGACGGUACCUUAGGAGGAAGCCGCGGCUAACUACGUGCCAGCAGCCGCGGGAAUACGUAGGGGGCGAGCGUUAUCCGGAAUGACUGGGCGGAAAGGGUGCGUAGGCGGCCCUGCAAGUCAGCAGUUAAAUCCCUCGGCUGAACCGAGGUCAGCUCUUGAAUCUGUAGGGCUUGAGUGCAGGAGAGGGGGGCGGAAUUCCUAGUGUAGCGGUUAAAUGCGUAGCUAUUAGCAGGAACACCAGUGGCGAAGGCGGCUCUCUGGACUGCAACUGACGCUGAGGCACGAAAGCGUGGGGAGCGAACAGGAUUAGAUACCCGUGUAGUC
rnacentral:rRNA from 1 species